rnacentral:rRNA from 1 species
GUGGGGAAUCUUGCGCAAUGGGCGAAAGCCUGACGCGGCCAUGCCGCGUGAAUGAUGAAGGUCUUAGGAUUGUAAAAUUCUUUCACCGGGGACGAUAAUGACGGUACCCGGAGAAGAAGCUCCGGCUAACUUCGUGCCAGCAGCCGCGGUAAUACGAAGGGGGCUAGCGUUGCUCGGAAUUACUGGGCGUAAAGGGCGCGUAGGCGGACAGCUUAGUCAGAGGUGAAAGCCCAGGGCUCAACCUUGGAAUUGCCUUUGAUACUGGCUGUCUUGAGUUUGGGAGAGGUGAGUGGAACUCCGAGUGUAGAGGUGAAAUUCGUAGAUAUUCGGAAGAACACCAGUGGCGAAGGCGACUCACUGGCCCAAUACUGACGCUGAGGCGCGAAAGCGUGGGGAGCAAACAGGAUUAGAAACCCCAGUAGUCC